UACGUAGGACCCAAGCGUUAUCCGGAAUUACUGGGCGUAAAGGGCGCGUAGGUGGCCCGGUCAGUUCGUGGUGAAAGCGCGGGGCUCAACCCUGCGUCGGCCAUGAAUACUGCCGCGGCUGGAGCACUGUAGAGGCAGGCGGAAUUCCGGGUGUAGCGGUGGAAUGCGUAGAGAUCCGGAAGAACACCGGUGGCGAAGGCGGCCUGCUGGGCAGUUGCUGACACUGAGGCGCGACAGCGUGGGGAGCAAACAGG
rnacentral:rRNA from 1 species